UACAGAGGUCCCGAGCGUUGUUCGGAUUCACUGGGCGUAAAGGGUGCGUAGGUGGUGAGGUAAGUCGGAUGUGAAAUCUCCGGGCUCAACCCGGAAACGGCAUUGGAAACUACCUUGCUAGAGGAUUUGAGGGGGGAUUGGAAUACUUGGUGUAGCAGUGAAAUGCGUAGAUAUCAAGUGGAACACCAGUGGCGAAGGCGAAUCCCUGGAAAAUACCUGACACUGAGGCACGAAAGCUAGGGGAGCAAACAGG
rnacentral:rRNA from 1 species